GUCCAGACUCCUACGGGAGGCAGCAGUGGGGAAUAUUGCACAAUGGGGGGAACCCUGAUGCAGCGACGCCGCGUGAGCGAUGAAGUAUUUCGGUAUGUAAAGCUCUAUCAGCAGGGAAGAAAAUGACGGUACCUGACUAAGAAGCCCCGGCUAACUACGUGCCAGCAGCCGCGGUAAUACGUAGGGGGCAAGCGUUAUCCGGAUUUACUGGGUGUAAAGGGAGCGUAGACGGAGAAGCAAGUCUGAAGUGAAAGCCCGUGGCUUAACCACGGGACUGCUUUGGAAACUGUUUGACUAGAGUGCUGGAGAGGUAAGUGGAAUUCCUAGUGUAGCGGUGAAAUGCGUAGAUAUUAGGAGGAACACCAGUGGCGAAGGCGGCUUACUGGACAGUAACUGACGUUGAGGCUCGAAAGCGUGGGGAGCAAACAGGAUUAGAUACCCUAGUA
rnacentral:rRNA from 1 species